rnacentral:rRNA from 1 species
UACGGAGGGUGCAAGCGUUGUCCGGAUUUAUUGGGUUUAAAGGGUGCGUAGGCGGCCCGUUAAGUCAGCGGUGAAAUCCCAGGGCUCAACCCUGGAACUGCCGUUGAUACUGGCGGGCUUGAGUUCGGUCGAGGCGGGCGGAACUGGCGGUGUAGCGGUGAAAUGCUUAGAUACCGCCAAGAACCCCGAUUGCGUAGGCAGCUCGCUAGGCCGAAACUGACGCUGAGGCACGAAAGCGUGGGGAGCGAACAGG